rnacentral:rRNA from 1 species
AAGUUCCUGAUUCCACACUGCCAAGAAAAGCCUCUAGCGAGGUGAGAGGUGCCCGUACCGCAAACCGACACAGGUAGGCGAGGAGAGAAUCCUAAGGUGAUCGAGAGAACUCUCGUUAAGGAACUCGGCAAAAUGACCCCGUAACUUCGGGAGAAGGGGUGCUCUGUUAGGGUGCAAGCCCGAGAGAGCCGCAGGGAAUAGGCCCAGGCGACUGUUUAGCAAAAACACAGGUCUCUGCGAAGCCGUAAGGCGAAGUAUAGGGGCUGACGCCUGCCCGGUGCUGGAAGGUUAAGAGGAGCGCUUAGCGUAAGCGAAGGUGCG